GCCCCAGCCCGGCCCCACUCGCUUUGCUGCCGCUCACCUAAUCUCAGCCCGAAAUCUCCGGCACUGUGCAAGCGCAGCCCCCAGGUGGCACCUCGGCCAGGUUGCCUUUCACGUGGAGUGGAAGUGGGCUGCUGUACUCACUCAUACAGAACUUAGCUCUGCAAGCCCUAAGCCCCAGUGGAGUCAAACUGGCGUUUCAUUGUUACAGAGACCUAAUUGAUGUCCUGCUCCAUGCCCUGGGAGCUGCUGUCAUUGCACCAAAUAAGCUGCCUGGACAAGCUUCAGUUGCAGAGAAAUUCCUGUUCAGUCCCAGGCUGGACCAUGCGUAGUGCAGAUGGAAUGAAUCUUCAGGGAAUUUAUCUCCUGAAAUCUAAGAAGGCCAUACCGAGAAUGUGAAAACUGCAGUUUUUCAAAGACUUUUAGUUUGGCCAAUUUUGCCGAUUUUCAUGGUGGCACCAAAAGGCACCUCCCUGACCCAAACAGUCACACUCUUGCCAAAUUUUAGACUCUUGCUUCAGAAGAUGGGAGUGCUGAAGGAUGCCAGAUUUGUUGAAGUGGGCAAAACAGUGUAUUUUUCACAGCCUUGCUCUCAAAAAUAGCUGUGCCAUUUUGGCUGAAAUUAAAUAACAGUAAUUGCAGUAAUCACCCCGAAGCAAACACCCAACAUGGAAAAUUUUAACCUAGAUGGUUUAAGUUUGUCAAAGUUAUAAGCAGCUGUCAGCAGCAUCUUAUAAUGGGAAGUGCUGGGCAACCUUAAUAAUCUGUGGUGUUACCAGCCCUAUUUAUAAUAAUGGUUCUGGGUGCUCCAUGAGUUUGUUAUAAUGCAUUGCACAGGCUCAUGGAUUUGAAUCAGAACUUGCAAUCCUCAGCAAAAAAUUGUAGGUGAUUACAAUUCUGCUGUAGAGGAAAUGGCCGUGGAUCAA